GGCAUGGAGAAGUCUGACCGAGCACGCCGCGUGAGUGAAGAAGGUUUUCGGAUCGUAAAACUCUGUUGUUAGAGAAGAACAAGGAUGAGAGUAACUGUUCAUCCCUUGACGGUAUCUAACCAGAAAGCCACGGCUAACUACGUGCCAGCAGCCGCGGUAAUACGUAGGUGGCAAGCGUUGUCCGGAUUUAUUGGGCGUAAAGCGAGCGCAGGCGGUUUCUUAAGUCUGAUGUGAAAGCCCCCGGCUCAACCGGGGAGGGUCAUUGGAAACUGGGAGACUUGAGUGCAGAAGAGGAGAGUGGAAUUCCAUGUGUAGCGGUGAAAUGCGUAGAUAUAUGGAGGAACACCAGUGGCGAAGGCGGCUCUCUGGUCUGUAACUGACGCUGAGGCUCGAAAGCGUGGGGAGCAAACAGGAUUAGAUACCCUGGUAGUCCACGCCGUAAACGAUGAGUGCUAAGUGUUGGAGGGUUUCCGCCCUUCAGUGCUGCAGCUAACGCAUUAAGCACUCCGCCUGGGGAGUACGACCGCAAGGUUGAAACUC
rnacentral:rRNA from 1 species